UACGGGGGGGGGCAAGCGUUGUUCGGAAUUACUGGGCGUAAAGGGCUCGUAGGCGGCCAACUAAGUCAUACGUGAAAUCCCUCGGCUUAACCGGGGAACUGCGUCUGAUACUGGAUGGCUUGAGUUCGGGAGAGGGAUGCGGAAUUCCAGGUGUAGCGGUGAAAUGCGUAGAUAUCUGGAGGAACACCGGUGGCGAAGGCGGCAUCCUGGACCGAUACUGACGCUGAGGAGCGAAAGCCAGGGGAGCAAAGCGGG
rnacentral:rRNA from 1 species